rnacentral:rRNA from 1 species
GUUAGGGGGAGUUCGGAUUUAGCCAUGCUAGUUGCACGGGUUCAGACUCGUAGCAUAUAGCUCAGUAACACGUGGCCAAACUACCCUACAGACCGCGAUAACCUCGGGAAACUGAGGCCAAUAGCGGAUAUAACUCUCAGGCUGGAGUGCCGAGAGUUAGAAACGUUCCGGCGCUGUAGGAUGUGGCUGCGGCCGAUUAGGUAGAUGGUGGGGUAACGGCCCACCAUGCCGAUAAUCGGUACAGGUUGUGAGAGCAAGAGCCUGGAGACGGUAUCUGAGACAAGAUACCGGGCCCUACGGGGCGCAGCAGGCGCGAAACCUUUACACUGCACGACAGUGCGAUAGGGGGACUCCGAGUGUGAGGGCAUAUAGCCCUCGCUUUUCUGUACCGUAAGGUGGUACAGGAACAAGGACUGGGCAAGACCGGUGCCAGCCGCCGCGGUAAUACCGGCAGUCCAAGUGAUGGCCGAUAUUAUUGGGCCUAAAGCGUCCGUAGCUUGCUGUGUAAGUCCAUUGGGAAAUCGACCAGCUCAACUGGUCGGCGUCCGGUGGAAACUACACAGCUUGGGGCCGAGAGACUCAACGGGUACGUCCGGGGUAGGAGUGAAAUCCUGUAAUCCUGGACGGACCACCAAUGGGGAAACCACGUUGAGAGACCGG